rnacentral:rRNA from 1 species
UACAGAGGGUGCAAGCGUUGUUCGGAAUUAUUGGGCGUAAAGAGCUCGUAGGCGGUUCGCUAAGUCGGGUGUGAAACCUCCAGGCUCAACCUGGAGACGCCACCUGAUACUGGUGUGACUAGAGUCCGGUAGGGGAGUGUGGAACUCCUGGUGUAGCGGUGAAAUGCGCAGAUAUCAGGAAGAACACCAGCGGCGAAGGCGGCACUCUGGGCCGGUACUGACGCUGAGGAGCGAAAGCGUGGGUAGCAAACAGG